rnacentral:rRNA from 1 species
CGCGUCUUAGCAUGCAGUCGAGCGGCAAGCGUCAGCGAUGACGCCUAGAGCGGCGGACUGGUGAGUAACGCGUGGGUGACCUGCCCCGGGGCUGGGGAUAGCCCCUAGAAAUAGGGGGUAAUACCGAAUAGGGUUGCGGCGCUGUGGCGCCGCAAGGAAAGGCGCUUAGGCGCCGCCCCGGGAGGGGCCCGCGUCCCAUUAGCUAGUUGGGGGGGUAAAGGCCCACCAAGGCGGUGAUGGGUAGCCGGCCUGAGAGGGUGAACGGCCACACUGGGACUGAGAUACGGCCCAGACUCCUACGGGAGGCAGCAGCUAAGAAUAUUCCGCAAUGGACGAAAGUCUGACGGAGCGACGCCGCGUGGAUGAGGAAGGCCGAAAGGUUGUAAAAUCCUUUUGCGGACGAAGAAUAAGGGCGGGAGGGAAUGCCCGCGUGAUGACGUUAGUCCGCGAAGAAGCCCCGGCUAAUUACGUGCCAGCAGCCGCGGUAACACGUAAGGGGCGAGCGUUGUUCGGAAUUAUUGGGCGUAAAGGGCGCGUAGGCGGCCGCGCAAGUCGGGCGUGAAAGGCGUGGGCUCAACCCACGGACUGCGCCGGAAACUGCGCGGCUGGAGUCACGGAGGGGCAGCCGGAAUUCCUGGUGUAGGGGUGAAAUCUGUAGAUAUCAGGAAGAACACCGGUGGCGAAGGCGGGCUGCCAGCCGAUGACUGACGCUGAGGCGCGAAAGCGCGGGGAGCAAACAGGAUUAGAUACCCUGGUAGUCCGCGCUAUAAACGAUGUGCACUGGGUGUUGGACCGAGCGGUUCAGUGCCGGAGCGAACGUGAUAAGUGCACCGCCUGGGGAGUAUGCCCGCAAGGGUGAAACUCAAAGGAAUUGACGGGGGCCCGCACAAGCGGUGGAGCAUGUGGUUUAAUUCGAUGGUACGCGAGGACCUUACCUGGGUUUGACAUGGGGAUGACGCCGUAGAGAUACGUUGUCCCGCAGGGACGUCUCACAGUGCU